rnacentral:rRNA from 1 species
CCUACGGGUGGCAGCAGUGGGGAAUAUUGGACAAUGGGCGAAAGCCUGAUCCAGCCAUGCCGCGUGUGUGAAGAAGGCCUUCGGGUUGUAAAGCACUUUCAGUGGGGAAGAAAGCCUUGGGGCUAAUACCCUCGAGGAAGGACAUCACCCACAGAAGAAGCACCGGCUAACUCCGUGCCAGCAGCCGCGGUAAUACGGAGGGUGCGAGCGUUAAUCGGAAUUACUGGGCGUAAAGCGCGCGUAGGCGGUCUGAUAAGCCGGUUGUGAAAGCCCCGGGCUCAACCUGGGAACGGCAUCCGGAACUGUCAGGCUAGAGUGCAGGGGAGGAAGGUAGAAUUCCCGGUGUAGCGGUGAAAUGCGUAGAGAUCGGGAGGAAUACCAGUGGCGAAGGCGGCCUUCUGGACUGACACUGACGCUGAGGUGCGAAAGCGUGGGUAGCAAACAGGAUUAGAUACCCCGGUAGUC